AGUGGGUUGGUUCAGUGGUUAGAGCGUGGGUCUUGUAACCGAAAAGUCGCGGGAUCCAAUCCCGUUAAAGGCUG
rnacentral:tRNA from 1 species